rnacentral:lncRNA from 1 species
GUAGGCUGAAAGCUCUGUGUCUCGACGACAUGAGCUAGAUGGCGAAUGGCCCGCAGCACCCCCUCGGGAGGAACGGGAGGCCGCGGUUCACCCCGAGCCCCCACGCAAGCAAGACAAGCCCAGGUCAGUGCGCGAACGCCUCGGGGAUAAUGUCGGGCAUUGGUUUUGCUACAUUGAUAGUGGUUUUAUGUUUUUCUUUUUUAUUUAUUUUUGCUAAAUCUUUUAAAAAUUAUAGUAAAUCAUAAAAAUAAUAAAAUAAAAAUAUUCAAUUUUUUUGACUCCACAUGAGUAGAUUUACACGGUUAAUAUAUAAUAUGGUAUGCUUUAGUAUAACUUCUUUGUUGUAACUUUAGAUCUAUGAAUUAUUCCACUUAAUUGCAGAAAAGCAUAGAUCUAAAGUUAUAUCAAAAACUUUAUACUAAAUCAUACAAUAUUAUAUGUUCAGUACGUAGAUUUACUCACGUGAAGUUCAACAAAAUUGGUUUUUUUAUUUUAUAAUUUUUCUCUAAUUUAGUAUGAUUUUGAAAGAUUUAGUAAAAAUAAAUAAAAAAAGAAAAAGACAAAACCACUGUCACUAUAGCAAAACCACCU